GUGCGGCUCCGUGGUCGCUCGUCGUCUCCGAGGACCGAACGAAUAUUUUUAGAUAACGGCGCGAAUAAUUUAUUCGCGAGUUAGCAAUCGCGCGCACUUUGGCGAGCGGCGGCGGCGCAUGCGGGCCGACGGGCGCGCGACCGGCCAGACGCGCCCGUAGGUAAGCUGCGCACGUCCUGCGCGCCGCCAUGUUCGGCGGGAACGUCACUUCCGGCGGACGGAACCGAGCCCGUGGCCCGCGAGCGCUCAGGUCAAUGAGCGACGGCUCUCGAUUCAUAAAAUGUCGGUCGUUCCAUUCACGCCGCGGCGCGAUGCUACGCCGACCGCUCACUCGUGACCCUCGCGUCUUCGAAUAUUCAUGUCUCCAUCGAUAACAUCCUAACCUCUGACUUCUUUUUGUAUUAUCGGGUGUUGUUGUGCGAGCGCCGUCGGCGCACCGAGCCGCCGCCGCGCUGGGCCCGCGCCAACCGCCGACCGCCGAGCGCCGCGAACGCGAGUGUCGUUACGUCCACCGAGCGGUGUCCGCUUGCUGUGAAAUUAUGUGCAAAGUGACUUCAAUUGUGGUUUUGCGCUUUUUAUCAAUGGAUUUUACAUACGAUGGCGAGAUGGGGCUUAUCUCGAGGCGUCGAUCGGCGCGCCGGCCUGGGAACGUUACGCUCGCAGCUCGCAGGACCGUUAGUCGCAUUCCACCGCCGCUUCGUCGCCUCGUCGCCGCGCCGGCGCCGCAAAACCCUCGUGUCGUCACGUCACCGGGACGCGGUCGUGACACGCUAGACAAACACAUAUUCUGCACGGCCUGCAAACAACAAACGACGUGACAAAUGUUGUAUCCGAGAUAAAGAUCCCACAUAGAAAGGCGUAAAGAAGUGAGCGACGAACAAGUCAUCAACCACGGGCCCAGCUUCACCGCGGUCGCGCCGGGGAACACCGCGUCAACUUAGAGAGCACCGCGACCGCUGGUUCGCAGCGAGGCUACGACACGCGACCUGAGUCAGCAUGAUGUCAUGCGUGCGGGGCGCGAGGGGCGGCGACUAAUGGAGCAUCCCGGCAGCGUCACGUCACGUCCCAUUCCCGCCGCAUACUUCACCCAAUCGAGCGAUGACAAAUCCAUUCAUAUUCCUCUAUCCUAUUGUGCCCUCAUACUUGUUUAGACACUUACUCUAGUUCAUAAGCAAUGGUUAUCGUUGUCACAGCCACCAUUGUUUGAAUGAUUCUUUAUAAGUAUUAAGUCUCGCAAUGAAAUGAGACGAAGAAGCAACUCAAGAAGAGAGAAGAAAGAAGGAAUUACGAAACUGGUUUUCAUAAUGAUUUGACAGAUUGUUCAAAUUCUGAGAUCAUUGUGAAAGCUGUUUUUUUGUUCCUGUCUCAACAGAUGAAGAUACUAACGUGCGCUACGACAUGAAAACAACAAAAAAGAAACAUU